UCAGAUCUGCCUGGGCUCUGCUGCUCAUCUCUUCCCUACCCCACUGCAGCCAGAAUAAGACAGCAGCAGCUCACUUUUAAGCUGCCUAUUGCAGCCCAUAUGUCAAGAUUUUACCCGAGAAUGCUGAGCAGUGCAACUCAAAGGAAAUUAUUGGCCUUCAACUGGGAGGUGCUUCAAGGAACUAAUCAGUUGUGAUGGGCAAAUGAAACUUGUUUACAUAAGACUUCAAAGGUCCUGUUGGCCUGAUUUUCUACAGUCAUGCAGUUCUCAGGUGCAGCAAAACA